AGAGUUUGAUCAUGGCUCAGGACGAACGCUGGCGGCGUGCCUAACACAUGCAAGUCGAACGAGUCCACUCUUUCGGGAGUGAGGCGAGUGGCGGACGGGUGAGUAACACGUGAGCAAUCUAUCCCGUUGCGGGGGACAACGAGGGGAAACCUUCGCUAAUACCGCAUGGUCGGGAGAAUCGAUGAUUCUUCCGGGAAACGUGGCCUCUUUACAAUGCUACGGCGGCAGGAGGAGCUCGCGGGCUAUCAGCUUGUUGGUGAGGUAACGGCUCACCAAGGCGACGACGGCUACGGGGUCUGAGAGGACGACCCCGCACRUUGGAACUGAAACACGGUCCAGACUCCUACGGGAGGCAGC
rnacentral:rRNA from 1 species